rnacentral:rRNA from 1 species
AGUGAACGCUGGCGGUAGGCCUAACACAUGCAAGUCGAACGGCAGCACAGUAAGAGCUUGCUCUUACGGGUGGCGAGUGGCGGACGGGUGAGGAAUACAUCGGAAUCUACUUUUUCGUGGGGGAUAACGUAGGGAAACUUACGCUAAUACCGCAUACGACCUACGGGUGAAAGCAGGGGAUCUUCGGACCUUGCGCGAUUGAAUGAGCCGAUGUCGGAUUAGCUAGUUGGCGGGGUAAAGGCCCACCAAGGCGGCGAUCCGUAGCUGGUCUGAGAGGAUGAUCGGCCACACUGGAACGGAGACGCGGUCCAGACUCCUACGGGAGGCAGCAGUGGGGAAUAUUGGGCAAUGGGCGCAAGCCUGAUCCAGCCAUACCGCGUGGGUGAAGAAGGCCUUCGGGUUGUAAAGCCCUUUUGUUGGGAAAGAAAAGCAGCAGGUUAAUACCCCGCUGUUCUGACGGUACCCAAAGAAUAAGCACCGGCUAACUUCGUG